AACAGCUGGAGUGUGCGUGCCCUUUCCUCACUGCGCCUGUCCAAAGUUUCUUGUUGUGUUUCAGUCAUUCAUUUUUUUCCAAAUGAACUUUGAAAUUACCCAUUUAAUCCCAGUAUAACUUUUUAUUGGAAUUAGAUUGAAUCUUUACAUUAGUUUGGAAGGCAUUAUUAUCAUAAUAGCAGUUGGUUUUUCCAUGCAGGAGUUUGCCAUAGUUUCCAUGUAGUAUACAUUUUGGGGGGAAAAAACUUGUAAAGAAAGAAAGCAUCAGACUGAAAACUGCCUCAAAGACCUUAAUAACCUAGUCUAUGGCAUGGUAAAUAUUUUUGCUCCACAGAAGACAGGAAUGGACAGUUGAAGAGAAACAGGCUGUGUAAGACAGUGACAGCAGCUGAUUGCCGGGAGCACCGCCCCCCCACUGUGCAUUCCCACGUUUAUAAAGGAGGCAGCCGUGACGCUAAGCCAAGAAGGGUUUGAAAGCUCUAGAAGGACUUGGACACCUUUGCUGUCUGAGGUCGGAGUUGACAUCUGCCAGUCAUCCUGUGAGGGGUGGACUUGCUCCUGGACAAGGCCGGAAGGGCCUUAAUUUCAGAUCUGGAAGGUGGUCUUCAUCCAGUGUUUUCAACAAUGACAGAAUUUUAUUUUCCAGUUCACUGUUUCUCUCUUCAGCUGUCUAAUCUAUCCAUUAAACUAUUAAUUUCAGUGUA